UUAAUAAAUAAUAGUAUAGGUUUAAUCAAAAGGGAAUCAGGUGGGAAUCCUGAACUAUCUUGUAGCUGUAUUAGGUGAAUUUAAGUAGGACAAGCCACUUGUAAAUAGGGAAGGCAUACUUAGAUGAUGAAGCUUAAGUCAGAAGACCUGCCUAUAUAAUAGGCCAUUA
rnacentral:ncRNA from 2 species